rnacentral:rRNA from 1 species
UACGGAGGGGGCAAGCGUUGUCCGGAAUCAUUGGGCGUAAAGCGCGUGUAGGCGGCUGGCUAAGUCCGCUCUGAAAGCCCGGGGCUCAACCCCGGGAGGCGGGUGGAUACUGGUCAGCUCGAGUCCGGAAGAGGAGUGUGGAAUUCCUGGUGUAGCGGUGAAAUGCGCAGAUAUCAGGAGGAACACCAAUGGCGAAGGCAGCACUCUGGGACGGUACUGACGCUGAGACGCGAAAGCGUGGGGAGCAAACAGG